rnacentral:rRNA from 1 species
UACGUAGGUGACAAGCGUUGUCCGGAUUUACUGGGCGUAAAGAGCGCGCAGGCGGUCGUUUCAAGUCGAGUGUGAAAGCCCCCGGCUCAACUGGGGAGGGUCACUCGAUACUGAUCGACUCGAAGGCAGGAGAGGGUAGUGGAAUUCCCGGUGUAGUGGUGAAAUGCGUAGAUAUCGGGAGGAACACCAGUGGCGAAGGCGACUACCUGGCCUGUUCUUGACGCUGAGGCGCGAAAGCUAGGGGAGCAAACGGGG